GGCCUACAGGGAUCAAAUCGGAAAAGAGUCUUCUACCGGUGAUAAUACAACCCCAACAGAAUUGCCCGACUGCUCUGGCAUUAAGUUUCUGCGUUUUAUUACACCUGCUGUUGCUUCUACACCGGCUCAUGCUCACACCAACAAGCGUAAGGAAAUGAAUUUUGUUCACCUGUAUUUUGUUCCGAAAUCUUUCCAUUUUAAGAUGCUUGUGAAGUUUGUCAACCUCAGAGAUCUAAACCAAUUCAACAUACAGGGAGUGAUUUCCUGACAAGGCAAGCAUAUAAUUCAAGUUUUCAACUCAUAAUGUCUUAGUUUUUCCAAAAGUAUAUACCAUGAUGCUUAGGGGUUAUUUCUGCUAUGCUUGAUAAAUGAUAAUUAUGUAGGUUCUUAAGAAAUGCAGAUGUAGUUGCGGUAGGGGUUUGGAAGAACAUGCGUAAAGUUGGGAACUAUGUGAAAGCAAGUGUUUCUGAUAUUUUGUACCCCUACCGAGGGUGACCAAAGUAAGAUGCAUGUCUUCCUGAACAAGUGAAGACAUCAGAUGGAGUGAAAGUACUCGAGAAGCAGGAUUCGACUCAGUUCGAAUUCCAUCCUAUGCUUGGGGCUUUUGUUUUGCCAGUUGCAUGGUUUUUAUUUUUUUAUUUGAAUUUGUGUUGUACACAUACUAAUGCGUAGAUUGUGGUGAUCAGUGCCUCACUCGCUGGUUAAAGAUGAGCCGCAGCUUAAAGAUUUUCAUUAUGCGUGUGCUGGUUACUCGAUCUACUAGGGAAAGAGUCUUCCGGUGAUAAGCAAAUGCCAGCGAAAUUGCCUGUUUGUGCUGGCUUGGAGUUUGUGGUUGGCAAAAAAAUUUCUAAUAGUGCACCUGCUGCCUCUCCUACUGUGGAUCAUGCUCUGAACAAAGAGGGUGCUCGUGAGUCGUGAAGUCCGUCAACCUCAGAGACCUAGACUCAUUCAACCGGCGGGGAAUGGUUUCCUGACCAGG